rnacentral:tRNA from 1 species
CCGACCUUAGCUCAGUUGGUAGAGCGGAGGACUGUAGAUCCUUAGGUCACUUGUUCGAAUCCAGAAGGUCGGA